CCCUUAGAUGAUUUGGGCUGCACGCGCGCUACACUGACCCUAACAAUGAGCAACUGUCUGGCCUGAGAUGGCUGGGUAGCCUUUUCAACCCAUGUCAUGAUUGGGCUAGAUUUUCGUAAGUCUUGAUCUCUAACGAGGAAUCCCUAGUAUGCGUGAAUCAUCAAUCCAUGCAGAUUAUGUCCCUGCCCUUUGUACACACCGCCCGUCGCUCCUACUGAUUGGGUGAUCCGGUGAGCUGUUCGGCCAUAGCAAUGUUUCUUGAGCAGGGCAAUGAAUGUUUCGCAAACCUUGCCACUUAGAGGAAGGAGAAGUCGUAACA
rnacentral:rRNA from 1 species